GAGCUGGACAGUUUUGUAAUCCCUUUCCCAAGCAGAUAUGGCCCAGCCAACUGCUGCCUGGUGAGGCUGCCUGGGGGAGGGGACACUGAGGAAGUGCUGAGGGGUCUGAUCCAGGUCAGUGGAGUUCCUGUGGAACCAGCAACAAGAACCCCUGCUACCUGAAAGGUCUGACAGCAGCCAAGCUACCAGUUUCCAGGAGUCAUCAUCACAGUGGAGGAGAAGCUUCACAACAUUUUAUAACGUGGAGGUCACUGGAAGAAAUUGUGUGCAGGCUUUUCUCUGUUUUAUGAAGCUCAAGAGGAGAGAAAAAGUCAAGACAGCAUGCACGCGUGAGAGUGGUGGGGAAGGAAAG